rnacentral:rRNA from 1 species
GAUGAACGCUGGCGGCGUGCCUAAUACAUGCAAGUCGAGCGAACAGAUCAGGAGCUUUCUCCUCUGACGUUAGCGGCGGACGGGUGAGUAACACGUGGAUAACCUACCUAUAAGACUGGGAUACCUUCGGGAAACCGGAGCUAAUACCCGAUAAUAUAUUGAACCGCAUUGUUCAAUAGUUCAAGACGGUUUUGCUUUCACUUAUAGCUUGCUCCGCGCCCCAUGAGUUAGUUGGUAAGGUAACGGCUUACCAAGGCAACGAUGCGUAGCCGACCUGAGAGGGGGAUCGGACACACUGGAACUGAGAAAAAGUAAAAACACCUACGGGAGGCAGCAGUAGGGAAUCUUCCGAAAUGGGCGAGAGCCGGACGGAGCAACGCCGCGUGAGUGAUGAAGGUCUUAGGAUCGUAAAACUCUGUUAUUAGGGAAGAACAAAUGUGUAAGUAACUAUGCACGUCUUGACGGUACCAAAACAGAAAGCCACGGCUAACUACGUG